GAUGAACGCUGGCGGCGUGCCUAAUACAUGCAAGUCGAGCGAAGCGGGGACGGAUGAGUAACACGUGGAUAAACGUCUAUAAGACUGGGAUAACUUCGGGAAACCGGAGCUAAACCGGAUAAUUAUAGAUGGAUCCGCGCUGCAUUAGCUAGUUGGUAAGGUAACGGCUUACCAAGGCAACGAUGACUAGCCGACCUGAAAGGGUGAUCGGCCACACUGGAACGGAGACACGGUCCCGCCUCCUACGGGAGGCAGCAGUAGGGAAGCUUCCUCAAUGGGCGAAAGCCUGGCCGAGAAACGCCGCGUGAGUGAUGAAGUUCUUCGGAUCGUAAAACGCUGUUAUGAGGGAAGCGGUACCUAAUCAGAAAGCCACGGCUAACUACGUGCCAGCAGCCGCGGUAAUAC
rnacentral:rRNA from 1 species